rnacentral:rRNA from 1 species
UACGUAGGGGGCAAGCGUUGUCCGGAUUUAUUGGGCGUAAAGAGCGUGUAGGCGGCUUGGUAGGUCCGCUGUGAAAACUCGGAGGCUCAACCUCGAGACUGUCGGCGGAAACCACUUGGCUAGAGUCCGGAAGAGGAGAGUGGAAUUCCGUGGUGUAGCGGUGAAAUGCGCAGAUAUCAGGAAGAACACCUAUGGCGAAGGCAGCUCUCUGGGACGGUACUGACGCUGAGACGCGAAAGCGUGGGGAGCGAACAGG